AACCCUUCAAGCUCUGCUUGGUGUUGGGCGUCUUGUUCCGCCUCCGCGCGUGGACUCGCCUUAAAUUCAUUGGCAGCCGGUAAGUUGGCUUCGUGCGCAGCACAUUGCGUUUGCGAAUCUAGCUUGCCUCCUUCCAGUCAAGCCCCUUUUAUUACU
rnacentral:misc_RNA from 1 species